AUCUUUGCGCUUGGGCCAAUGACGUAGCCAAUGAGGUUCUAAAUGUGGUGUGUUUAUUGUUGGUUGAAAAUUAUUUCCAGACUUCCUUUUAGGCUUGGGUUCAGCCUUAUGUCUUUGAGAAUUUUUGAAAUGGUUAACU